rnacentral:rRNA from 1 species
UGGAGACCUCAAAUCAGGUAGGACUACCCGCUGAACUUAAGCAU